rnacentral:rRNA from 1 species
CGGAUCCCAUCAGAACUCCGAAGUUAAGCGUGCUUGGGCGAGAGUAGUACUAGGAUGGGUGACCCCCUGGGAAGUCCUCGUGUUGCAUCCC